CUCAUUUGAAAUUUCAUAAAUAAAAAAGAAAAUUUCUUCAAACAUUUUUUUGAGAGGAUUAAUAUUCAACAGCAUAGUGAAUUGCUCUAAGAGAAAACAAAAAUUUUAAGUUCAUUAGAACACAUUCAUUCUGUGUCAGAAACCUAUGCUGUGUCAACUAUUUAAUCACAAUCCAAAUUUAGAGCUGAAUCCAGCUUGAAUGUUGUGUCCAUACUUGCCCCAACCGUUCAGGGUUCAACCUCUGCGGUCGUAUAAAGCUACGCCCUGCGGAGC
rnacentral:lncRNA from 1 species